rnacentral:rRNA from 2 species
CCCACCUGACCCCAUGCCGAACUCAGAAGUGAAACGCCGUAGCGCCGAUGGUAGUGUGGGGUCUCCCCAUGUGAGAGUAGGGAACUGCCAGGCA